UUCAAAGCCAUCAUUCGGUCGUGCCACUUGGUUAGAGCCUCUGGGGAAACGCACAUGCCGACGGCCCUCCGUCCGGGCUUCCGGGGCCCCGUGAGAAAGGGACACUCUAGUCAUCACACAGAUAAAGAGACUGAGAUCAGGGAAGCUAGGCUGCUUGCCGAAAGUCCUACAGAGUUCCUGGCUGAAAAGUCGAUGAGAAGUAAAUAAAGCUAUCAUUUACUGAGUACUUACUGUCUGGAAGAACUGUGCUAACUGCUUUAUAACAAACAAAG